UACGAAGGGGGCUAGCGUUGUUCGGAAUCACUGGGCGUAAAGCGCGCGCAGGCGGCCUUUUAAGUCUGAUGUGAAAGCCCACGGCUCAACCGUGGAAGGUCAUUGGAAACUGAAAGGCUUGAGUACAGAAGAGGAAAGCGGAAUUCCACGUGUAGCGGUGAAAUGCGUAGAGAUGUGGAGGAACACCAGUGGCGAAGGCGGCUUUCUGGUCUGUAACUGACGCUGAGGCGCGAAAGCGUGGGGAGCAAACAGG
rnacentral:rRNA from 1 species